CGAGCGCAACCCUCGUCCUAUGUUGCCAGCACGUAAUGGUGGGAACUCAUGGGAGACUGCCGGGGUCAACUCGGAGGAAGGUGGGGAUGACGUCAAAUCAUCAUGCCCCUUAUGUCUUGGGCUUCACGCAUGCUACAAUGGCCAGUACAAAGGGCUGCAAUACCGUAAGGUGGAGCGAAUCCCAAAAAGCUGGUCUCAGUUCGGAUUGAGGUCUGCAACUCGACCUCAUGAAGUCGGAGUCGCUAGUAAUCGCAGAUCAACGACGCUGCGGUGAAUACGUUCCCGGGCCUUGUACACACCGCCCGUCAAGUCACGAAAGUC
rnacentral:rRNA from 1 species